UCGCGACAAGGUUCACUUCUCCCUCUCCAAAAUGGUCCGAUGGAAAGCCUCAGAAACCAGGCACGUUACUCACGAUUCUCCUCCCUCUCCGUGCGUUUGUUCCACCAAUUUGAUCGACAUCUCUACCUUUUGCUUGAUGAUCUUUACUUGAACAACUUGAAGAGGGGUUUCAAUCUUUUACCUCUCAGUUCCGUUUUAUAUUUUUUUUCUUCUUUUUAUUAACCUCCCAACUCUUUAUCUUGUUUUUCUUGACAGUUCUGCGCUCAGACACACCUGACGUUUAAGAAUUUUCUUUUAAGACCAUGGUUUUGUGGUUUUAGAUGUUUUGCUUCUCUGGAAAGUUGGUCUAAGGAAUGCACAAACCCUUUUGUGCAACAAAUCUUUUUCUUUGUUGUCUACAGUGAUGAAAGCUUGAGACUCGCCAAUCAUAAUAAUGAAAACAUGUUUCUUACUUGAGAGUUGAGACACUCCUUUAUCGAUUCUUCUUGGGUUGUCUCUUGGGUUAAUUAUAUUACCUACCUCUCUUUACAGCAAAUUUACCAUGGUUCGAAUUCAG
rnacentral:sRNA from 1 species